ensembl:ncRNA F35D2.11 ncRNA
AUAUUUUGCCAUUUUUAAUGUUCUAUAUAUAUAUAUCAUAUAAUUUUUAAAUUGUACAUUUUUCGGUUUCCCACAGAACCGUACCAAAUACCCCAUGCCGCGCAACUCGACCCACUAAUCCGUUUUUUUGAGUGGCUCCUUGUGCACCGACGACAUGACCGAGAAGAGUCCUCUGGCCACCCAAUUGUAGCAUGUUUCUCUCUCGUCUUCAUGUAAUCCGGGCGGUCCGUCACACGGAAUUAGCCUUCUGACCGCCCUCAAAUGCCACCAUAUGUGCAUUAAAAAAGUGGU